UACGGAGGGUGCAAGCGUUAUCCGGAUUCACUGGGUUUAAAGGGUGCGUAGGUGGGCAGGUAAGUCCGUGGUGAAAUCUCUUAGCUUAACUCAGAAACUGCCGUGGAUACUAUUUGUCUUGAAUAUUGUGGAGGUGAGCGGAAUAUGUCAUGUAGCGGUGAAAUGCUUAGAUAUGACAUAGAACACCAAUUGCGAAGGCAGCUCACUACACAAUUAUUGACGCUGAGGCACGAAAGCGUGGGGAUCAAACAGG
rnacentral:rRNA from 1 species